rnacentral:rRNA from 1 species
GGCGACUAGCUGGGCCGUAACUGACGCUGAGGCACGAAAGCGUGGGGAGCAAAUAGGAUUAGAUACCCUAGUAGUCCACGCCGUAAACGAUGAAUACUAAGUGUUGGAGAAAUUCAGUGCUGCAGUUAACGCAAUAAGUAUUCCGCCUGGGGAGUAUGCACGCAAGUGUGAAACUCAAAGGAAUUGACGGGGACCCGCACAAGCGGUGGAUUAUGUGGUUUAAUUCGAUGCAACGCGAAGAACCUUACCAAGUCUUGACAUCCCUGGCAAAGCCCUAGAGAUAGGGUGGAGGUUAUCCGGGUGACAGGUGGUGCAUGGUUGUCGUCAGCUCGUGUCGUGAGAUGUUGGGUUAAGUCCCGCAACGAGCGCAACCCUUGUCUUCAGUUACCAUCAUUCAGUUGGGGACUCUGGAGAGACUGCCGGUGACAAACCGGAGGAAGGUGGGGAUGACGUCAAAUCAGCAUGCCCCUUAUGACCUGGGCUACACACGUAAUACAAUGGCGCACACAAAGGGAAGCAAUACCGCGAGGUGGAGCAAAUCUCACAAAUUGCGUCUCAGUUCGGAUUAGAGUCUGCAACUCGACUCUAUGAAGUUGGAAUC